rnacentral:rRNA from 1 species
CCUACGGGAGGCAGCAGUGGGGAAUUUUGGACAAUGGGCGCAAGCCUGAUCCAGCCAUGCCGCGUGCGGGAAGAAGGCCUUCGGGUUGUAAACCGCUUUUGUCAGGGAAGAAAUCCUUUGAGAUAAUACCUCGGAGGGAUGACGGUACCUGAAGAAUAAGCACCGGCUAACUACGUGCCAGCAGCCGCGGUAAUACGUAGGGUGCGAGCGUUAAUCGGAAUUACUGGGCGUAAAGCGUGCGCAGGCGGUCUUGCAAGACAGAUGUGAAAUCCCCGGGCUCAACCUGGGAACUGCAUUUGUGACUGCAAGGCUAGAGUACGGUAGAGGGGGAUGGAAUUCCGCGUGUAGCAGUGAAAUGCGUAGAUAUGCGGAGGAACACCGAUGGCGAAGGCAAUCCCCUGGACCUGUACUGACGCUCAUGCACGAAAGCGUGGGGAGCAAACAGGAUUAGAUACCCUGGUAGUCCACGCCCUAAACGAUGUCAACUGGUUGUUGGACGGCUUGCUGUUCAGUACGAAGCUAACGCGUGAAGUUGACCGCCUGGGGNGACGCGCGAGUAGAGANAGAGAGUGAGNGNGAGAGNGCGAGGACGACGACGAGGGAGGAGG